GAAAACCACCAGGAUGUGGGUCAGAAGCAGCCCCCCUUAAAAGAGUGCGUAAUAGCCCCUUGUCGAGAGACUUUGCGCCGAAGAUGUCCGGGGCUAAAGUACGGAACCGAGGCUUUGCCAAUUGACAUUAGUCAAUUGGGUAGGGGAGCGUUCCUGCAUGGGAGAAGCCUGUCCGGAAGGACAGGUGGACAGGCAGGAAGAGAGAAUGCCGGUAUGAGUAGCGAAAAGAAGGGUGAGAAUCCCUUCCACCGAAAGCCUAAGGGUUCCUGGGCAACGAUCGUCGUCCCAGGGUAAGUCGGGACCUAAUCCGAGGCGGAGACGCGUAGGAGAUGGACAACAGGUUGAAAUUCCUGUACUGGCUGAGGCCGUUUGAGCGAAGGAGUGACACAGGAAGGAAGGCGCGCGUGCGAUUGGAAGAGCACGUCCAAGCAGGUAGGUUGGGAGACAGGCAAAUCCGUUUCCCGAGAGGCCGAGAUGCGAUGGGGAGCUUCUGGAGACAGAAGCGAAGGGGCUGGCACUAAACUGUCGAGAAAAGCUUCUAGUGAGGACUCAGGCACCCGUACCGAAACCGACACAGGUAGGCAGGAUGAGAAUUCUAAGGUGCGCGGGAAAACCCUCGUUAAGGAACUCGGCAAAAUAUAUCCGUAACUUCGGGAAAAGGAUAACCCAGCGUACGUGAAGUGCAGAAGCGCAUGGAGCGGAGAUGGGUGGCAGAAGAGAGGCCCAAGCGACUGUUUACCACAAACACAGGCGUCUGCUAAAGCGAAAGCUGAUGUAUAGAUGCUGACACCUGCCCGGUGCUGGAAGGUUAAGAGGAAGUGUUAGCGCAAGCGAAGCAGUGAAUUGAAGCCCCAGUAAACGGCGGCCGUAACUAUAACGGUCCUAAGGUAGCGAAAUUCCUUGUCGGGUAAGUUCCGACCCGCACGAAAGGUGUAACGAUUUGGGCACUGUCUCAACGAGGGACCCGGUGAAAUUGAAGUACCUGUGAAGAUGCAGGUUACCCGCGACUGGACAGAAAGACCCCAUGGAGCUUUACUGUAACCUGAGAUUGGAUUCCGGUAAGAGAUGUACAGGAUAGUUGGGAGGCUGAGAAGUGAGUACGCCAGUAUUCACAGAGCCGCUGGUGGGAUACCAACCUUGUUUUAUUGGAAUUCUAACGAGAAGCGUAACGAGCUUGCGGACAGUCUCAGGCGGGCAGUUUGACUGGGGCGGUCGCCUCCGAAAGAGUAACGGAGGCGCCCAAAGGUUCCCUCAGCGCGGACGGAAACCGCGCGAAGAGUG
rnacentral:rRNA from 1 species